UUCCGGUUGAUCCUGCCGGACCCGACUGCUAUCAGAAUAGGACUAAGCCAUGCGAGUCAACGUAGUAAUACGUGGCAUACGGCUCAGUAACACGUAGUCAACAUGCCCAGAGGACGUGGAUAACCUCGGGAAACUGAGGAUAAACCGCGAUAGGUCAUAAUAUCUGGAAUGAUUUAUGGCUUAAAUCUAUAUGGCCUCUGGAUUGGACUGCGGCCGAUCAGGCUGUUGGUGAGGUAAUGGCCCACCAAACCUAAAACCGGUACGGGCUCUGAGAGGAGAAGCCCGGAGAUGGGCACUGAGACAAGGGCCCAGGCCCUAUGGGGCGCAGCAGGCGCGAAAACUCUGCAAUAAGCGAAAGCUUGACAGGGUUAUUCUGAGUGAUUUCCGCUAAGGAAAUCUUUUGGCACCUCUAAAAAUGGUGCAGAAUAAGGGGUGGGCAAGCCUGGUGUCAGCCGCCGCGGUAAUACCAGCACCCCGAGUGGUCGGGACGAUUAUUGGGCCUAAAGCAUCCGUAGCCGGUUCUACAAGUCUUCCGUUAAAUCCACCUGCUUAACAGAUGGGCUGCGGAGGAUACUAUAGAGCUAGGAGGCGGGAGAGGCAAGCGGUACUUAGUGGGUAGGGGUAAAAUCCGUUGAUCCAUUGAAGACCACCAGUGGCGAAGGCGGCUUGCCAGAACGCACUNGACGGUGAGGGAUGAAAGCUGGGGGAGCAAACCGGAUUAGAUACCCGGGUAGUCCCAGCUGUAAACGAUGCAGACUCGGUGAUGGACUAGCUUCACGCUAGUCCAGUGCCGCAGGGAAGCCGUUAAGUCUGCCGCCUGGGGAGUACGGUCGCAAGACUGAAACUUAAAGGAAAGGCGGGGAGCACCACAAGG
rnacentral:rRNA from 1 species